rnacentral:rRNA from 1 species
CCUACGGGUGGCUGCAGUGGGGAAUAUUGGACAAUGGGGGCAACCCUGAUCCAGCCAUGCCGCGUGUGUGAAGAAGGCCCUCGGGUUGUAAAGCACUUUCAGUGAGGAAGAACGCCUGGUGGUUAAUACCCAUCAGGAAAGACAUCACUCACAGAAGAAGCACCGACUAACUCCGUGCCAGCAGCCGCGGUAAUACGGAGGGUGCGAGCGUUAAUCGGAAUUACUGGGCGUAAAGCGCGCGUAGGUGGCUUGAUAAGCCGGUUGUGAAAGCCCCGGGCUCAACCUGGGAACGGCAUCCGGAACUGUCAAGCUAGAGUGCAGGAGAGGAAGGUAGAAUUCCCGGUGUAGCGGUGAAAUGCGUAGAGAUCGGGAGGAAUACCAGUGGCGAAGGCGGCCUUCUGGACUGACACUGACACUGAGGUGCGAAAGCGUGGGUAGCAAACAGGAUUAGAUACCCGAGUAGUC